AGAUGAAAUUACACAGCAAUAACAUUUUUGAGGAGUCCUACAGAAGAAUCAUGUCUGUGAAGAGACCUGAUGUAUUAAAAGCCAGGCUGUGGAUUGAAUUUGAGUGAGAAAAAGGACUUGACUAUGGAGGUGUGGCCAGAGAAUGGUUUUUUCUCUUGUCCAAGGAGAUGUUUAACCCUUACUAUGGUUUCUUUGAAUACUCAGCAACAAAAGGGACAACUACACACUUCAGAUGAAUCCUAAUUCAGGUCUCUGUAACGGAGAUCACCUGUUGUACUUCACCUUCAUUGGCCGGGGUGGCCGGCCUGGCUGUGUACCACGGGAAGCUGCUGGACGGCUUCUUCAUCAGACCUUUCUACGAGAUGAUGCUGGGGAAGCCCAUAACCCUGAAGGACACGGAGUCAGUGGAUAGUGAAUACUACAACUCUCUGAAGUGGAUCCUGGAAAAUGACCCCACCGAGCUGGAUCUCACGUUUUGCAUAGAUGAGGAGAACUUUGGGCAGGUACGUAAAGGUUACUUGCAUCUUAGGACUGGUGGUUGCCAACAAGUAGCUCAGUGCUGACAGUCUGGUGGUGGUGAAAGCAGCUGGGAGCUCAGCUGGCCGUGUUCCCAGCUGGGAGCGGGGCUGCCAGCUCCUGUCAGGGAGCUGUGGCACCUCUGGGACAAGCUGGAGAUGCAGCUGAGUAAAAUACUUGCAGUGAGGAGGGAUGAAGGUGUCCCACAGUCCAGCUGGGACAUGCUCAGGGACUCUCUGGUUCCUGAAGCUGAAGGUGCUGUCAGGGGAGAGCAGCAGAAGGACACCAGGUCCUCUCUGUAGUGCCUGUCACAGCUGGUGCGCCAGGGGGAAGCUGCCAGGUUGAAAAGGGUCACAGCCUAUG